rnacentral:tRNA from 1 species
GCAUUCCGUAGCUCAGCUGGAUAGAGUACUCGGCUACGAACCGAGCGGUCGGAGGUUCGAAUCCUCCCGGAUGCACCA